CCGCGGGUGGCGGCGCGGUUCGGCCGGUGCCUGCUCGAGCUGGGUGGAAACAACGCCGCGAUCGUCACCCCGUCCGCGGA
rnacentral:tRNA from 1 species